rnacentral:antisense_RNA from 1 species
CUUCACCGACCCCAACAACAGCGGCCGAUCCCCCGGACGCUCCUGCCCGUACGUCGCCAGAAGAGCCUGCGCCUC